ACUGGCCUUCGGCUGGGGCUUCGCGCCGGCGCUGCUGUUCACGCUGGCGGCGGGCGCGGCGAUGGGCCUGGUGAACGGCGUGCUGACCGCCAAGCUGAUGC
rnacentral:tRNA from 1 species